UUUCAUCUCCUAUCCAAUUAAUCGGCUACCCAUCGCUCACGCAUCAAUUAUUAGAUUCCUCCAUCCACAAAUCGUCGAACUUCGCCUCUCGCUUUCUGUCAGCAUCACCGAAAACAUCAUAAGGUUAAAUCACCAUCUUCUUAUGGUUUCAGGUAAUCAUUCGGUAAAUCAGCAUUGUCUUAUUCCUAAAAUGAAUGAUCCCUUCUUGCCUAUAAGGUUCGAGGUAAUAACACUUCUAAUUAUCAUUGGAAUUUCUAAUUGUGGUAAAGCUUGAAUUAAUGAGAUAUCCAUGGAUCAAUUUCAUAUAGCUAGAGGUGGUAGUGUUUAAUUUUGAAUUUUCCUUCCUGCACACCUUGUCUUCGACAACAUGCCCCUGCUUGAGCACAAUUCAAAUCUAGAUAAUCUUAUAUGAAAUGUUGUUUUUUCUUUCAUUGGUUAAUAGAUAAUAAUACAAAUCUAAGAUUACCGACAUCGUUCAACUUCUUUUCCAAAACUUUAGGUUUGUUAAUUAUUUUUAUGUGUGUAUGAAAUGAACAGGUUAUUCAAUAAGAAUAUUGUUACACAGAUACAAAAAUAGGAAAUAUUGUUGGGUUAAUAGGAAGUUACAAGUCUUUUUUUAUAACUUCAUAGGUGAGUAAAAUAUUUCAACACUUAUUUUGUGUUUUUGUAAAUUUUGUUUUGUUUUGUUUUAUCUAUAUAAAAUAAUUUAUUCUGUGUUUUUACAAAUUUAUUUUGUUUGAUUUUGCGUUUUUAUAAAUUAAAAGGAUUGAGAUCAAGAGUGAUGAUAUAUAAAUUAGAGGCUUACAUGAACAGUACACAAUGUGAAAUUCAUUUUAAAGGAAAUGAAACAAAAGAGCUUUAAAAUGGGUUUGUUUUUGUGAAAUUUUAAAUAUAUUUUAUAGUGUAUUAUGUAAUAAUACAUUUGUAUGAAUGUAUUCUGUCAGAAUGUAUUUUUAUUUUAUAUAAAUGCAUUCUUUAAUUAUGUUGUUCUAAUUACACGCAAAUUGGUUUACUUAAUAGGGUUCUUAAAUAAGAUUAGACGAUGUGAAGUCUUUCAAUUGUUGGAAUCAAGUGAGCUUGCAAAAAUGAAUUAUCUCAAAUGCAAUGGAUUCCCAUAGAAUACCAAGUGCAUUAUGGAUUCUAGGAGAAGAUGAAGUCUAUUAUAUUAUAAUGUAUUCUGAAAUUAUUUUGAUACUAUUCUAACAUUUUUAGUUUUUUUAAUGCAUUCAAAAAUCAUUGUAUGGUAUAUUUAUAUGUACCAUAAUUGUAUAAAUAAG
rnacentral:lncRNA from 1 species